AGAGCGAACGCUGGCGGCGUGCUUAACACAUGCAAGUCGAACGAGGUUUGUAGCAAUACAAAUACUCGUGGCGAACGGGUGCGUAACACGUGGAUAACCUUCCUUCAGGUGGGGAAUAACCCAGUGAAAAUUGGGCUAAUACCGCAUAACAUGACGAGGGCACAUGCUUUUGUCUUCAAAGGCGCAAGUCGCCAGAAGAGGGAUCCGCGGCCGAUUAGCUUGUUGGCGAGGUAAUGGCUCACCAAGGCUUUGAUCGGUAGCCGGACUGAGAGGUUGACCGGCCACACUGGAACUGAGACACGGUCCAGACUCCUACGGGAGGCAGCAGUGGGGAAUCUUGCACAAUGGACGAAAGUCUGAUGCAGCAACGCCGCGUGGGGGAUGAAGCUUCUCGGAGUGUAAACCCCUUUCGACCCGGAAGAAAGCCCGCAAGGGUUUGACGGUACGGGUAUAAGAAGCCCCGGCUAACUACGCGCCAGCAGCCGCGGUAA
rnacentral:rRNA from 1 species